GAUGAACGCUAGCGGGAGGCCUAACACAUGCAAGCCGAGCGGUAUUGUUUCUUCGGAAAUGAGAGAGCGGCGUACGGGUGCGUAACACGUGUGCAACCUGCCUUUAUCUGGGGGAUAGCCUUUCGAAAGGAAGAUUAAUACUCCAUAAUAUAUUGAACGGCAUCGUUUAAUAUUGAAAGCUCCGGCGGAUAGAGAUGGGCACGCGCAAGAUUAGCUAGUUGGUGAGGUAACGGCUCACCAAGGCGAUGAUCUUUAGGGGGCCUGAGAGGGUGAUCCCCCACACUGGUACUGAGACACGGACCAGACUCCUACGGGGGGCAGCAGUGAGGAAUAUUGGUCAAUGGGUGCAAGCCUGAACCAGCCAUCCCGCGUGAAGGACGACUGCCCUAUGGGUUGUAAACCUCUUUUGUAUAGGGAUAAACCUACCCUCAAGAGGGUAGCUGAAGGUACUAUACGAAUAAGCACCGGCUAACUCCGUGCCAGCCGCCGCAGUAAUAC
rnacentral:rRNA from 1 species